CUUGAUCGUGCUGCCUCAUGGCUUGAGACCAACGUGUGGGCAAUAAUCACCAUCUGGAGGGAGAGGGAGAUUCAGGGCCAGCUGAACUUGUCUGUAAGUAGUGUUUGAAAUGGGCAUGGGAGGCUCUACACCAGGCCACCAUUCUUCUAUCCUGAAAAGCUUCAUUCUACCCUGGUCCCCUGGCAGGCAGUGCCUAUGCAGGUACCUACAGGAGCUGUGGGAGCCGCUGCUACUGGGGCAGGAGCAGCUUGUACUGACCAGCCACUCCAAGCAGGGCAGCCCUUCCUUCUUCAGCCUGGUCCUGAGGGUGCUGGAAGCAAACUGGUAUGGAAUAGGAGCAACCCCUGCACAGAGCAGCCAGAUAACUGGUACAAGAGUAUUUGCAGGGGAGAGGCAGGAAAGGAAUGCAACUGCUAAGCUCCUUAUGGCCCACAUCACUGCCUGGCAGCAUUCUCCAGCUGCUAAGAUGGAUGUUUUAUGUACAUGGAAGUAGAGGUAGAUUGUUUUCUGUGUGAGAUGUAUGGUUUUAUUAGAAAACUCAUGCGUCUCAUUACAUGAAGUUCUAUGCUUCUCUGAACAGAAGCAUUUGAAUUAUGUUCUAACAAUCUAUCAAAUAUCCUGUUUGUUCUGAUUUCAGUUAAGUUGUGAUAAUCUAAUAUGUUUUUGGAGUACCAGAGUUAAAAUAUGGCACCAUCCAUAUUCUUCAUUCAGCAUAGAUACGUACCUGAAAAGUCUUUUAUUUGCAAGAGUUAAGAAUGUCCGCCCUCUUGAUAAAUCUAUCCUGAAUACCAAUGGAUAAACUGCAGAAAUUUUGAAUUAAUUCUGAUAUGUUUUAUCAGAAAUAUGGGCAAGCCUUGCUCUCUUUUGCUUUCUUUUUCCUGCUCUCUUUAUCUCUCAAGGGAAUUCUUCUGCAAGGUGUUUUCUUAUUCCUGUCUAAGUUUUCUUCCAAGAUCUAAGAUGUAGUGCUACUUCGGAAUUGGAAUUAAAUCACUUGGAUGUCAUCUCUGAUGAAAUCCCAAAGUAACUAAGUCUGGGUAUACUAAAACAUUCCUCUCUGUUUUCCUACACUGGAUUGCUUAAUUUUUGUAGAUUAAGUAGAAUGCUUGAUUCUUUACUUGCAGUGCUGCUGGCAAAAUCUGUGGUUCUGUUUUCUGUAUGAAGAUCUAAUAUUUUUAAUUUUGUGAAAGAUACACUACUCAAGCUGCAGUUAGCAUUAAUUCAGUCUGCCCCAAUGUCCUUGAAUACGUGUAGUCCCAGGAUUACACUGAUUGAUCAGAACUUCUGCAAUUUCCCUUUACACAUAUCAUGCAUCAUGCCAAGUGUGAAAAAAAGAUUAAAAAGUACAGAAGGAAGCAAUAAAUUAGAGUAUAUUCCUCCUGAAACCUGAAACAUUUGAAAAACACUGGAGAGUUCUUAAUUUUAGCAUCCUCUAGUACUAGUAAUGGUUAUGAAAUCUACUUUAAAGGUCUUCUAAACACACAGUUUGGUCUCCUAAGAAAUAAUGGCCUGCUACCUCUUUGGCAUCAUUAUUUCAAGCAGCAGAAGCUUGUAAUAAACUAUAUCUAGAGCUCUCACUAUUAAGUAUUGUUCUGCAUAAAGACAUUUAUAUUAAUAGCCUAGGCACUUUUACUGUGAUUUCAUACAUUAAACCAAUAGUAAUGUUGUAAAACUUAGGAAGCCAAAAGUUAAGAAUACUGUAUUUGGUAUUCUCUGCAAUCUUAAAUUGUUAUUCAUGUGCAUAAACACCAUAAUGCACUAUUUUAUUACAUGCUUUUUUUCCUCCAAAAUGCUCUAGCCUCAUUAAAUACAUAGAAUAAAAAUGGUAUCAUUCACUGUUGCAAAAUGAGGUGUGUGGUGAAAGAAUGAAGGGUUUAUUAGGAGAAUGAUGUCAUG